GAGGAGGAUGAUGGCAGUGGUGACCGAGGUGACUGUGCAGCUCAGGAUGAAGAAGAGGAGGAACAUCUUCCAGUUUGCCAAAAUCCAAAGUGAAUAUAUAGAGACCAUCCUCCUAUCCUUGCCUCAGAAGAACCUGAGAAAGACCCUCUUCCUCUUCUCUCACAGCUCUCCAUCAUCUACCUCUACAACACUGUUGGAAAGAGUGUUAUAUACAGCUGAGGACACGGUAAUGAGAGAUCUCAAAUACUUCCUGAGAAAGUCCACAUGUUCAUUUUCUUGAACAAAAACUGUACAUGUAUUUUUGGGUGGGCCAAACUAUUAUUUGAAGAAAUGCUAAAAAUCUCUAUAUUGUUCUUUAUACAUAUCUUUUACUCUUUAUGAAUGUCAUCUUCUGGAUUUUUUUUAGCUUUUGAGAAGCUCAAGGACUGUAUAUCUUUGGUAAUUGUGAUAUUGUCUGGCAGUAAAGCAGUAUUAAAGCACAUUACCUCAGUA